GACGAACGCUGGCGGCGCGCCUAACACAUGCAAGUCGAACGAGGGAGAGGAAGCUUGCUUCCUCAAUCGAGUGGCGAACGGGUGAGUAACGCGUGAGGAACCUACCUCAAAGAGGGGGACAACAGUUGGAAACGACUGCUAAUACCGCAUAAGCCCACAGGUCGGCAUCGACCAGAGGGAAAAGGAGCAAUCCGCUUUGAGAUGGCCUCGCGUCCGAUUAGCUAGUUGGUGAGGUAAUGGCCCACCAAGGCGACGAUCGGUAGCCGGACUGAGAGGUUGAACGGCCACAUUGGGACUGAGACACGGCCCAGACUCCUACGGGAGGCAGCAGUGGGGAAUAUUGCACAAUGGGGGAAACCCUGAUGCAGCGACGCCGCGUGGAGGAAGAAGGUCUUCGGAUUGUAAACUCCUGUUGUUGAGGAAGAUAAUGACGGUACUCGACAAGGAAGUGACG
rnacentral:rRNA from 1 species